AGCGAACGCUGGCGGCAGGCCUAACACAUGCAAGUCGAACGAACCUUUCGGGGUUAGUGGCGGACGGGUGAGUAACACGUGGGAACGUGCCUUUAGGUUCGGAAUAACUCAGGGAAACUUGUGCUAAUACCGAAUGUGCCCUUCGGGGGAAAGAUUUAUCGCCUUUAGAGCGGCCCGCGUCUGAUUAGCUAGUUGGUUGAGGUAAUGGCUCACCAAGGCGACGAUCAGUAGCUGGUCUGAGAGGAUGAUCAGCCACAUUGGGACUGAGACACGGACCAAACUCCUACGGGAGGCAGCAGUGGGGAAUCUUGCGCAAUGGGCGAAAGCCUGACGCAGCCAUGCCGCGUGAAUGAUGAAGGUCUUAGGAUUGUAAAAUUCUUUCACCGGGGACGAUAAUGACGGUACCCGGAGAAGAAGCCCCGGCUAACUUCGUG
rnacentral:rRNA from 1 species